rnacentral:rRNA from 1 species
UACGGAGGGUGCAAGCAUUGAUCGGAAUUACUGGGCGUAAAGGGCGCGUAGGCGGUAGAAUAAGUCGGAUGUGAAAUACCGGGGCUCAACCCCGGUGCUGCAUUUGAAACUAUUCAACUAGAGUUCAGUUGGGGUAAACAGAAUUCCACGUGUAGCGGUGAAAUGCGUAGAUAUGUGGAAGAAUACCGGUGGUGAAGACGGUUUACUGGACUGAUACUGACGCCGAGGCGCGAAAGCAUGGGGAGCAAACAGG